GGAGGAGUUACUCCACUCUCAGAGGUGCAAAACACUGCCCAGAGGUACUCAGCCACAACACCAAGACAGUGCUGAAGUCAGACCUCAAUAAAGGCAGUGCUUGCUCUUCCAACAGUGUAACACCAUCUGAGGCAUCACGCUAGCCUGGAUAGCUGACAACUGCUGGAUGAUGUAUAAAUUUUCAUGCAUCAGUUUGAUUGCUUCAGUCGUGUCCAACUCUGUGCGACCCCAUAGACUGCAGCCCACCAGGCUCCCCCAUCCCUGGGAUUCUCCAGGCAAGAACACUGGAGUGGGUUGCCAUUUCCUUCUCCAAUGCAUGAAAGUGAAAGUGAAAGUGAAGUCACUCAGUCG
ensembl:lncRNA